rnacentral:rRNA from 1 species
AUUGAACGCUGGCGGCAUGCCUUACACAUGCAAGUCGAACGGUAACGCGGGGCAACCUGGCGACGAGUGGCGAACGGGUGAGUAAUACAUCGGAACGUGCCCAGUAGUGGGGGAUAGCCCGGCGAAAGCCGGAUUAAUACCGCAUACGACCUACGGGUGAAAGCGGGGGAUCGCAAGACCUCGCGCUAUUGGAGCGGCCGAUGUCAGAUUAGCUAGUUGGUGGGGUAAAAGCCUACCAAGGCGACGAUCUGUAGCUGGUCUGAGAGGACGACCAGCCACACUGGGACUGAGACACGGCCCAGACUCCUACGGGAGGCAGCAGUGGGGAAUUUUGGACAAUGGGGGCAACCCUGAUCCAGCCAUGCCGCGUGCGGGAAGAAGGCCUUCGGGUUGUAAACCGCUUUUGUCGGGGAAGAAACGGUCUGCGCUAAUACCGCAGACUAAUGACGGUACCCGAAGAAUAAGCACCGGCUAACUACGUGCCAGCCGCCGCGGUAACAC